rnacentral:tRNA from 1 species
GCGGAUGUGGCGGAAUUGGCAGACGCGCCAGACUAAGGAUCUGGUGGGAUAUUACAUCCCGUGGAGGUUCAAAUCCUCUCAUCCGCAC